GGAGCGGUAAGCCUCGUCGCCCUCAACCGAACCGUCGCCGUUGCUGUGCGAGCUUCCACCGUCAUCGAGCUUGGUCGCGAAUAGGAGAGAGAACAGGGAGCUUUGUGAGAGCUCCGUCACUACCCAUCCGUCGCCGUCGUUGUGGGUUGCGUCGCCGGGAUCCACUACCGCUGUGUCCUUGCGCCUCUGGUCAUCGGAAAUCCACCAACAGAGCUUUUGGUAGCCGCCGUCACUGGAGGUAGCUGCCGGUCAGAUCGGUUUAGAGGUCGUUGCUAUUCCGUUUCUUUGUUGCAUAAACAGAGCUGUGGAUGCAGCCGCCGCUGUUGCGGGCCGAGAGAGAAAGAGAUUUAUUGCGUUAAAGUCGCUGCCGAUUUGAUUUCUCUAGAUAGGGGAUUGUUUUAAAAAUUAAAAAUAUUUUAAGAUUGAAUAUUUGAUGAGUUUAGUAAAUUAAUGCAAAUGGAUAAAUGUCUGUAAUAUGAAUGAUUUUUUGCUAUGGUUGAAAAAUUAUGUUUGUUGGUAAAUUGGAUGAUUUCUGAAUUUCUGGUGAAAUGAAUUGAAUACCUAACUACAUGUUUAUAGAAAGAUAUCGGAUACUCUAGGCACUUGGAAUGACCAGAAAAGAUAGUCCUGAUGCAUAUGCAUCCAUUCCAAAAUUAUUACAUUUUGCUUUUAUGUCGCGUUUAAAAAAUUAAAGCAUUACAAUUACGAAAACUAGAAAUUAGCAACUGUGUUGAUUUUGCUAGUAAUUUAAAACAGCAGUAUCAUGUUGUAACAACAGCUUAAAACCAAGCUCGGAGGUCCACUUCAGGUUCAUAUAGAAGAUUGCCAUGCUUGACGAUUGACGAAUUUGGCAUAAGAAACUUAUAGGUUUUGUUAUCAACAAUUGUGAGGCUCUAUUUAUAAUUUUAUCUCUUAAAUUUCAUAAUAGUAAUUGAAGUUAUAUUACUUUUGACUAUCAAGAACAGGUACUCCACUUGGCGCUCAGCAUAUGAAAUAAUUGAAAACAAAGCACAUAUUAAAGAGAAUAAAAACACAUAACCUUGCA